AUUUAAGGUUCGUGUAAACAUUUUUUCUUUUGUAGUCUAGUGAUCCGGAUUAAACUGAUCACAACAACUCUGGAUUCACGGUUUCUGUAGACAUUGCUUUAUUUCAUCGCUGUGGAUCUUAAAGCGAAUAAUAAGAAACGAAAGAAGUAGAGGAGAGAGAUGAAGAGGAGGAGGGAGGAAGAUUCACAAGCCAGUGGAUCAAAACCAGCAAAUGUGGAGAAACUUGUUAAACGGAACAGUAUGAGUAAUCCGAAAACAGACUUCUCUCAUGAUGCAGCAAAGCCUGAGAGUCAUUCUGAUGUAUCUCAAUCAAAGACGAGUGUCCUGGAGAAUCUCCAGCAGAUCAUCUGAACACCAACAAGACAAACCUCUAUGAAACUCUCACGUUUCUUCAAAUGGAGCUGCAAUAGUUAAUUGUUUCCAGGCUUGGCUCCACCCAAUCAGGAGCUUGGUCCACACCCUUGUCCCACACCAAAUAACAACCAGCUGUUGUUCAAUUGUUGUUCAAUGUUCAAUUCAGCUCCAGGUUUUGAGGGAGAUGUAGCUCUUUGGCAGCUUGGUAGGAAAAUCCCACUUGUUUUUCAGAAAGUAGAGAGAAUGUAAGUCUGCUCAGGCCCGUAAUAUAACUGCAUAUUUGGCAAGAAUUCACUUGUUAUAAAUAUAUUUAGCUAUAGCUUGAUACAGAUGGAUCUCUCAAAUCAGAAGGUUAUAAUGACGGCAAUAGCCGAGCGGGAAGUUAUAGUCCUCAAAGAAUUUGUCUGUCUCUUUUAAUUAAUAUUUUCGGGUUAAAGCGGGAUUUAAACAGAUACAGCAUAUUCACACGCAAUCGCUUUCGCAAUAAUGCAUUCAAACAAAUGUAAUCUUACAGUGCUACUUCAUCUGUAUCUG